rnacentral:ncRNA from 1 species
AAUAAUGUAGAUAAGGGAAGUCGGCAAAAUAGAUCGGUAACUUCGGGAUAAGGAUUGGCUCUAACGAUUCGGGUGUCUCGGGCCUUGACUUGAAGCAGCAGUACAGUGUGGAACUACUAGUUGAUUUCACGACCGACCGGUGGAUCAGAACAGGACUUGUCUGUGGACGUUCAAGGCAGGCUUUUGCUCUCUGUGGCACGCCUAACGAUCAAGGUAUACAACUCCAAUCCACUAGCCGUAUUGGGCUACAACGACGGUGUGAAUCGCACGACAUUAUUCUUCAGUACGAU